UCAAGACUAAGCCAUGCAUGUCUAAGUAUAAACGUUUCUAUACUGUGAAACUGCGAAUGGCUCAUUAAAUCAGUUAUAGUUUAUUUGAUGGUUCCUUACUACUUGGAUAACCGUAGUAAUUCUAGAGCUAAUACAUGCAGAAAGUCCCGACUUCUGGAAGGGAUGUAUUUAUUAGAUCCAAAACCAGCGCGAGUUGCCUCCGGGUGGCUCGGUUGCUUGGUGAUUCAUGAUAACUGCUCGAAUCGCAUGGCCUUGUGCCGGCGAUGAUCCAUUCAAAUUUCUGCCCUAUCAACUUUCGAUGGCAAGGUAGUGGCUUGCCAUGGUGACAACGGGUGACGGAGAAUUAGGGUUCGAUUCCGGAGAGGGAGCCUGAGAAACGGCUACCACAUCCAAGGAAGGCAGCAGGCGCGCAAAUUACCCAAUCCCGACUCGGGGAGGUAGUGACAAUAAAUAACAAUGCUGGGCUAUCAUAGUCUGGCAAUUGGAAUGAGUACAAUCUAAACCCCUUAACGAGGAACAAUUGGAGGGCAAGUCUGGUGCCAGCAGCCGCGGUAAUUCCAGCUCCAAUAGCGUAUAUUAAAGUUGUUGCAGUUAAAAAGCUCGUAGUUGGAUUUCGGGGCAGCCCGGCUGGUCCGUCGCGAGGCGAGUACUGGUCGGCCGCCCUUCCUCUCGAAAGCCCCGACUGCUCUUCACUGUAGUGGUCGGGGAGUUCGGGACGUUUACUUUGAAAAAAUUAGAGUGUUCAAGGCAGGCAAUCGCCUGAAUACAUUAGCAUGGAAUAAUGGAAGAGGACCUCGGUCCUAUUUUGUUGGUUUCUAGGGCCGAAGUAAUGAUUAAGAGGGACAGUUGGGGGCAUUCGUAUUUAAUUGUCAGAGGUGAAAUUCUCGGAUUUAUGAAAGACGAACAACUGCGAAAGCAUUUGCCAAGGAUGUUUUCAUUAAUCAAGAACGAAAGUUAGGGGUUCGA
rnacentral:rRNA from 1 species